CCUGUGGGAAUACUGCCAGC
rnacentral:miRNA from 1 species